UUUUCAGGCACAGGGAAAACAUCGACAUUAAUCAACUUCACGUUGCGAAAUCCUAACAUGUCUUUCCUGUACGUGGCCUUCAAUAAGUCUGUUGAGGAACAAGCAAAACGGAGUUUCCCUUCCAAUGUACAAUGUCGAACUACACAUUCACUGGCAUAUGGAGCUGUUGGUUAUCGGUA